GGGGGAAUCUGGAAUAUUUCAAGAUAAGGUCCAAUUCUUCCAUUGUCUCGUAAUCCAAUGCAGAGAUGUGAAAUGUAAGAUCAUCUGAAGGAGAGCUUUGGUUCAAGUCAAAUGCAUGCCUCAACCUAGCAGAGCCAAAGAGAUACUUGUAUGAUGUAAGUCAGAUUAUGUCAUUCUUCUGCUCAAAACUCUCCAAUAAAUAGCUCACCAUUCCCUUCAGAGAAAAGCCAAAGGACUUAAAAUGGCCAACAAAGCCUAUGAUCUGCACCCCCCUCCUCCCUCUACCUCACUUCAUCUUUCUCCCUGACUCACUUGGUUUCAGUCCUACUUGCCUGAUAUGUUCCCUCAAUUACACUCCCAUUUCAGGACAUUUGCACUGACUGUUUCCUCUGCCUGGACCCCACUUGCUCCAGCUUUGCACAUGGCUACCUCCCUUACUUUCUUCAGG
rnacentral:lncRNA from 10 species